rnacentral:rRNA from 1 species
CCUACGGGGGGCAGCAGUAGGGAAUAUUGCUCAAUGGGGGAAACCCUGAAGCAGUAACGCCGCGUGGAGGAUGACGGUUUUCGGAUUGUAAACUCCUUUUGUUAGAGAAGAUAAUGACGUUAUCUAACGAGUAAUCACCGGAUAGCUCCGUGCGAGCAGCCGCGGUAAUACGUCGGGUGCAGGCGUUACUCGGAAUCACUGGGCGUAAAGAGCGCGUAGGCGGGAUAGCAAGUCAGAUGUGAAAUCCUAUGGCUCAACCAUAGAACUGCAUUUGAAACUGGUAUUCUAGAGUAUGGGAGAGGUAGGUGGAAUUCUUGGUGUAGGGGUAAAAUCCGUAGAGAUCAAGAGGAAUACUCAUUGCGAAGGCGACCUGCUAGAACAUAACUGACGCUGAUGCGCGAAAGCGUGGGGAGCAAACAGGAUUAGAUACCCGAGUAGUC